UGUCUUCACAAUGGUGGAGCAGGAGAGAGAGAGAGAGAAAGGGCCAUGUGCACAGGGGGCAUUGAGAAAUAUCUCUGGACCAAUCACCUAAAAGAUGUGACUCUCCUCACUUGCCUGGACUCUGCUCAGAAUAGAGAUUUCGACACAUCAGUGGGUUCAACACCUAGGUGAUGCGGCUCUUCCUUCUUUUCUGGGCUCUUCCAUCAGAGAAGAUUGUGACAUUUUCUGAGCCCAGCACUCAAGUGAGGUGACUUGUCUCCCUGGACUCUCCCCACAGACAGCAUUGUGAAAUAUCUUUGGGAUCAUCACCUAGGCAUUCACAAAAAAUAGCUCACGUUAUGUUUUGCUUAUUUGCAAGUCAACAAGAUGAGGUCCCUGAGGAUGUCUAACUGAUUCUGUCCACUCGGGAAUGUUUCGGACUUGGUCUUCCUUUUAAUUUACUUUAUAAAUCAUUUUGUAAUUUUUAUCUCCUACUCAUUCUGUAACAGGUAACACAACUGACCAGAAGAAAAACAGCCUAGAUCCUGAGCAUUCAGCCUGUGUCUUCACACAACAAACACCACCUGAGUCCCAUCAAAGCCUGUGUUGUUUCCCAACAUCCACCAUUGAGACAUAUUCCAGAGCAGCCUCUCAAAAUCACCUAAACAAGAUGGAACAAGAAGGUGGAGCCAGACGUACAGGGCGGAACAUGAAAGUGGACCAGGAGCGUGACCGCUGAAGCACAGCACCACAGGAAGAGGUUUAGGCCUCUGGAUGACUGCGGGCGGGCCUGACUCAUGUCAGGCCUUCCACAAGAAGUGGUGGAGCAGAGUCUUCCCCAACUCUCCCAGGGAAAGGGAGACUCCCUUUGCCGGUCUGCUAAGUAACCGGUGCCUUCCCAGGCACUGGCGUUACCGCUAGACCAAGGAGCCCUCUAGUGGCCAUGUCUGGGCAUAACUGAGGGCUCACACUCUUCUGGUCACUUAUCACCCUUCAGCUCCUAUCUCUGUAUGGCCUGGUCUUUCCUAGGUUAUAAUUGUAGAACGGACAUUAUUAUAAUAUUGGAAUAAAGAGUAAUGCUACAAACUAAUAAUAAUAAUAUUCAUAUAUAAUCAUAUCUAUAUUCUAUUUCUAGUAUGACUAUUCUUAUUCUCUAUAUUUUCUUUAUUAUACUGGAACAACUUGUGCUUUCUAUCUCUUGGCUCAGCACCUGGGUGGCUUGCUGCCCACAAGAAUAGCCCAUCCUAAUUUUUUGUUUUACAUCUACUAUAAAUCAAAUAGAUUUUGUUCCAUAUUUUAUAGUGGAAUUUAAGAUGAAACCCACAUUGUUAAAUAUGUGAGAUUGAUUAUAAGCUCAUCAAGGAGGUUUUUACUCAGUGAGGGAAUUCAGAGAACAUAAAGUUGCAAAGGCAGAAGCAAAUGUUUUGAAUGAAUUUUGAGAGACAAUACUAACAGAAGUGCUUCCCACUUUUAUGACUCAUAUGACUCAUAUGAUCUUUCUGUAGGAAAAACUGCCUCUAAUUGUAGACACUGGUUCAUAGCAGAUGCUAAAUGAACCAG
rnacentral:lncRNA from 10 species